rnacentral:misc_RNA from 1 species
GUGAAUCAUCAAAUUUUUGAACGCAAAUUGCGCCUUUUUCGGAAGGCAUGUCUGUUUGAGGGCACCAUUUAACAAAUAAUGUGCACCGUUUUGUGUGUGCACACGUUGAUGAGCUUUCCAGGAAAAAUUUUUUUUUUUUUUUUUUUUUUUGGUGCCCAUUAAUAACAGGGCGAAAGCUUUUUUUUCGUUUGGGU